GCAGGUGUAGUUCAAUGGUAGAACUUCAGCCUUCCAAGCUGACCAUGAGGGUUCGAUUCCCUUCACCUGCUCCA
rnacentral:tRNA from 1 species